GCUGAGGGCCAGGAAGGAGAGACUCGAUUCUGACGGGCGGUGCUUCCUGAGGGUCACAGGCCCCCAAAGUCACUUUGACCCCAAAUUGUAUUUAUAAAGCAGACAGAUGAGGAAAUGGAGACUGCAGGUUCAAAAGAAUUAUCUCAAAAUUCUUCUGAGCGAAUGUCCCUGCCUAUUGAAAGUCAUUGAGUUUUCGGUGGUGAAAGGCGUCUCAAGAAGCCUUGGCAGGCUUUCAGUGAGCGCCUUCUCUGGGCCAGUGUCUCACACACCCUCACUCCCCAGAUACCUCUUAAGGAUGGUCCCCAUUCCUCAGAGAGGAAGCAGCAGCUGAGUCACGCAGCUGACGAGUGGAGGAGCCAGAGUCCCGGGCCAGCUGGUCCCAAGGCCACGCCAGCUUCUCGAUGGACAGCUGAGGUCUCUGAGGUUUCCUAGGUUUUACCUUUAGAGCACCCAGGAACUUAGGUGGCAGAGGCACCGCAAAGACCCAGGCUGGGUGUCUGUUUUGAUAAGAGACAACAGCCCACUCUCCUAUCCAACCCUGUUCUUUUUAGACACUGGGCUGGCCAGGGAGGCUGGGCUUUGAAGCCCUUCCUCCUGAGGACCAUGGUAAUCAGCAGCAGGAUUUUGAGCUGGGUAACACCUUUAAUUUGACUCCAUCUCAGUGCAGAUGUCAACUCUGAUGGAAGAGGAAGCAAAUGACAGGUGCUUCUUAAGAAGGGAAUAUCUUUGGGGGGAAUGAGUUUGAGGGAGGAGACAGGCAGAGUCGGUGACAAUGAAAGUGAGUAGGAGUCUGGCUCUGUGAGUCACCAUCAGGGGCCCCUGGGUGUGUUCGGGUUGGGUUGUGUCACCCCCACAUUCACCUGUUGAAGUCCCACCCCCGCGUAUCUCAGAAGGAGGCCUUAUUAGGAAAUAGCAUCAGAUGUAGUUAGUGAAGAUGGGGUCCUCCUGGAGUCGGGUGGGCCCCUAGUGCAUGAUGGCUGCUGUCCUCCCAGGAAGGGGACCUCUGGGACAGGCGCUGAGAGAGGGUGUCAGGUGAGGGUGACAAAGGACUGCCAGGAGCGAGCAGGGUGGCUGGAAACAGCCCUGGAGGCUUCAGAGGCAGCCUGGCCCUGGAACGCCUUGAUCGCGGACUUGCAGCCCUCGGAACUGUGAGAUGAUACGUUUCUGUGGUUUGAGUCCCCUGGUUUCCUUUGAGGCAUUUGGUGAUGGCAGGUCUAGGAAAUGAGUACAAAACAGCGGCCAUCCUAAAAGAUGCUGCAGGAGGCGCCUCUGAGCAGCUCUCCACCCGCGCCCAGCUCUGGGUGGAUUAACCCUUAAGAAGCAUCUCCAGCAGUCUAUGAGUGAAUGACUGAGGCAGGCCAUCAGGUUUUAUUUAAGCACAUAAGAUGUUCUCACUUUUCCUGCAGUGCCGAAAGGCAACGGCUCAAAAAUGGAGUGUGGUCUCUACAUUUGCUGAAAGAAAAAUUUACAAAGGGAAGACAAGGCAAAGUGUGCUUUAUCCUUUCAAGUCUGAUGCUCCAUGCUGGAAGUAGGCUGUGGGGCGUGUCCACAGGCGGGCAGCUGUUUGGGUCAGUCACCCCCCAGGGCCUUCACCUGAGCGAAGGGCUCCAUGUAAGCAGGGAACCGCACACGAGAACAAUCGGAGCUUUCACGGUCAUUGUUGUUUUCCAGCUUCUUUCCCUUCCACCCAUGCUCACUCUCAUCACUCCACAUUUGCAGAGUGGGGCAGCGGUUCCCUAGGGGCCGGGAAGUCACAUUUUCUGGGGGGACUUUUUCCACAUUUCUUAGUUAUUGAACACGGGUGUCUGUGAGCCUAACAUAAACACGGGUUUGACAAGCAGUUCAGAAAAACAGGAACCAUCAAUUCAUGAGAACUUAAAGAAAAAAAAUAGUUUAAAGAACCGAGAAGUUGCCACAUUAUAGUGAAAGAAAGUCAGGUUUGGGAAAUGACAAAAGUGAGCAAUUUUCACCUCGAAAACCUGGUGGAAUCAGUUACACAAGAUGUAACCACACACAAACACAGGCAUUUCUUAUCACAUAAGAGCAUUUACAGUCAAGAAGCUUCUUUCAGAGUAUUUCAUGGAAAGUUAUUUUAGUAGCAAGGGGAGCCUUCAGCAAUGAGUAGUCGUCAAGUGAAACCCUGAGUUCAAAGUCAGUAGACAGAGGAGCCCAGACUCAGAACACGAGGCGACUGGCAGGGUGGGCGCCCACGUGCACAGCCCCUGCCUUGGGCACUGUGUGCUGCCCUUGUGACCAGGCAGUGGAGACACCAGCUGCCGGGGCCCCCUGCUUGCCACCGUUUGCUACAAGGGCCAGACUUUAAAUUUUUAAAUAGUUCUUAUAAAAUUGAGGGCAUGAUUUAAAGCAAAGCAAAAACUGGGUGUAAAAAAAUACAAUGCCCGUGGGAUGUGAAUGGCUUAUUCCCUUAAGGUAAUAGCUGAAGAAAAUAUAAAAGCCCCAGGUGGCAGCGGCCUGAGGAUGGAGGCACUGUAUGACUGUCCCAGGGCAGAAGAGGAGCCCUGCUGGGACCCUCAGCCCCUGGACGCCUGUCAUGUCGCCAGGUGCAGGCUUUAGAGAUAGAGAUUGGGAAGAGACUGAUGCCCGCCUGUAUUCUCACUGCUAGAGCUUUCUGCGGUUCCCAUCACAGUGUUUCCUUCUAGGCUUUCCCCUCGUAUGGAUUUAGUAAUUGCUUAAGUAAUCUGUAAUAUAAUCUUUAAAAUUUAGACUAGCACACUUCAUGGAGCACCCUUUAAAAAACAAAAAGUAUGUAUAUAUAUAUUUAUUUUUAACUGAAGGAUAUCAGUGUUGUGUUGGUUUCUACCAAACAGCAAUGAAUCAGCCAUGGGUUUGCCCAAGUCCCCUCCUACUUGAUAUCCCUCCCGCCUCACUCCCCAUCCCACCCCUCUAGGUUGUUACAGAGCCCUGGUCUGAGUUCCCGGAGUCCUGCAGCAAAUUCCCGUUGGCCAUCUACUUCACAUGUGGUCAUGUGUGUUUCUAUGCAGAGCACCCUGGCCUUCAUUUUUGGGUUCAGCUUACCUUGCAGUCAUGCACAACUAGUCUACAGAAGACUCUGCAUUUAGGGAUGUCUUCAGAAUUUGCCCUCUCUGCUGAAGAGUUUCUUGGCAUAAACCUUAAAAGGUAUAGCUAUACUCUUAAAAAAAAGUGAAGGAGUAAACCCAGCCUCCAGAAACACUGAUUUUUAAAAACAAAUAUAUAAACUACAGAUUGUUCUGGGGAGAGUUGGUUUAAAGGAGAAGUUGGUUUAAAGGGUGUGACAUCAAUUAUUCUUUUAAAAAUUGUCCACUCAUAUUCUUUCCCUAUUUUCCCCUUCCCUUCCUUCUUCCUUCCCUCCUCUCUUUCUUUCUUUCCUUCAUUUCUCCCCCUUCUUUCCUCCCUCCCUCCCUCCCUUCCUAUCUCCUUUCCUUCCUAGUUUUCUUUUUUGUUGUUGGUUCUGUAAGAGCUCUUCAACUAUUCUGAAUUUUAAACCUUUGAUAUAUAUACCCUGCAGAUAUUCUUUUCCCAGCCUGUUGCCUGACAUUUUACUUUGUUUCUUGUGUCUUAUUCCUUUUAUAGAAACAUUUAAUUUUAUGUAGUACAAUCUGUUUUUAUUUCCCUGACCCCCAGGUUUUAGCUUGCUUAGAAAAUAUGCUCCCACCUCUAGAUUACAAAAGUAUUCUCACAUAUUUUUUUGGUCUGAUGUUUUAUAAAUUUAUUUUUGAGCUUUAAAAUUCCAAGUCCAUGGGGAUUUAUUUUUGUUUAUGAUUUGAAGUUGUGGGGGGAUGCCUAAUGAGUCUUUAAAUGGCCAGCAUUUUUUCCCCAGUAUUAUUUUUUAAGCAGUUCACUCUUUCCUGCUGAAAUUAUAUUGUACAUUUAUACGUUUUUAGGUUGGGGGAGAUGGAGGGCGUGGCAUAAAUGAUUCUGGGUGGAAGGUGGGGUUGAGGGCUUUGACACAACACCUCUGCCUUUCAAACAUCCUGUGACCUCAGGGCUGAGGGACGCUCGGAGCUUUCAGAGAAUGUGAGAUAGAAAGAGGAAGGGGCAGCGGCAGAUAAAUGGGAGUACGCAGACAGUGGGCACAGUCAAGGGGACAGAAGCGCCUCGGCAGGGGAGAGAAGACGUCAGCAGAGGGCGUAGGGGAAGCUUGGAAUAAACAGGUCCUGUGGGCAGCCGGUUCAUAGAACACAGACACUCGGUGCAUGCAGGCAUACUGGGCCGGGUGCUGAGGAGACUCGUGGGUGCUGGGAGAACUGGGUUUGGAUGAAUGUCUUCACAUGGAGAAGAUCUGACCUAAACGUGGAAAAGUAGACAUGCCAUCCAGAGAGAAAAGAAGCCUGAGUUUUCUGGAGCCAAAAACAAACAGAUCAAUGAAGAUAACCUCAAGAUCAGACCUACUGGAGAUUUGGAGCUCGCUUGGAAGGCACUUGUCACGGAAGCCUGGUGUGCAUGGCCAGGAAGGAGUGACCUGGCCCAUGGCAAGGUGGCAGAUGGAUACAUGAGAGCCAUAAUCAAGACAGAAGCGGCGACUGGGAGAACUGGCUGAGUUGCGAAACUCCAGGUCGCCCACGCCACCCUUGACAUUUGAGAACUCAGAGCAGAUGGUAACACCUGGGCCAGUCUACACAGAUGGGCAAGGAAGAUAGCUGCUACCACGUGAGGGGUGGGCAUGGGGUGGAAGUCAUUUCUCUCGCCCAAGAUUACAGAGGGAUUCCCCAUUUCCCUCAGGUGUGGUGGCUGAGCAGCACCAGUGACAAAUGGGAACACCUGCAUGUCAGGUGUGCGCCGUGGUGGGGGCCCUGCCGGCCACCGAGGCAUGGCCAGCUCCUUCGGCCAGCUGUCUGCGCAGAAACUGCGUGGUGACCGGAGGAAGUUGGAGGCAUAGACAGGCCGUUUCAGUGAUGGACGGCUAAGCACUGCCAGGCGGUAACUGCGGUCCCAGACAUGUAUUUCAAUCAUCUCAAGCUUCAAGAGGACCCAGUGACCAUCUCAUAUAACCCCAUCUGUACCUCUCUACUCUCCAACAUCUCCUCUAAUGACCAGAUGCCAAGGACAUCUUCUAAUGGCUAGUAAAGUGGAGUCUUCAUUAAGCCAGGCUGUUUAUUGGAAAAUCUGCCAAAUUCUGAUCUACAUUCAGCCCCUUGUACAGAGCAGUUCAGCCUGUCUGUUCCCAGGCCUCUCUCAUGGCCCUCCAAGAUAAUCCAAGACCCAACUGAAGACGGGUGGAUGUACUUCUCUUCUCCUGCACCUCAUCCCCUGAAGCAGCCAGAUCUCUUCCUACCUCUCCCAGCCCAUUCCUUCUCAGUUCCUCUUUGAUUUACCCUCCAUGUCUUCUUUCCCCUUCACCCCAACUCUGAGCCUCGCUCCUCUUCCAUAGUCAUCUGGUAGUGGCAUCUUUGGUUUGCUCCAAUUUUUAUCUCUUCUUCACCCUUGAAACCUUUAAACCUAUCAGUGCUCACUGUCCACACCUCCAGAAGUCAUCUUCCUUGGAAGGGAUGAUGAUGCAGAUUUUAUAGAACCCAGUUGAAAAUCUGAUGUCUUCAAUGAUGAAGUUCUUUCAGGAAAUCAUUGAUGUUAGAUUCUGAAACACCUUUCCUGUCUUAAAGAAUGAAGUCCCAUGUAUGUGAUGGGGUUCAAUCUUCCUCUGUAGGAUCAAUAACAACAAUGUCCCAAAGGAUCUGAGUGAUUCCCCAGCUAUACCUGAGCUAUUUGGUGGUUUCAAACCUUGGCCCCAGAUUACCCUGACCAAGUGAGUUCAUGUGAGUCCCUAAAAAGUUGUUUCCCACCUAGGGUACAGGUUACUGGCCGAAUCCGGGAUGAACUGUUACAGGUGGGACCUCAGACACGCUUAUUCUAGGAAGGCAGGUCCCAGGGAAGCUCGCUGGGUAUCCGGGAGCUUGUCUGUCUUCCCUGGGGUGACUCAGAGCAGAGCAUCUGUUGUUCAGUUGCUAAGUUAUCUCUGACUCUGCGACUCCAUGGACUGCAGCAUGCCAGGCUUCCCUGUUAUCAUCUGCUGGAGUUUGCUCAAACUCAUGUCCAUUGAGUUGGUGAUGCCAAUCAACUGUGUCAUCCUCUGGGGUCCCCUUCUCCUCCUGGCUUCAAUCUUUCCCAGCAUCAAAGUCUUUUCCAAUGAGUUGGUUCUUCAUGUCAGGUGGCUGAAGUAUUAGAGUUUCAGCUUCAGCAUCAGUCCUUCCAACAAAUAUUCAGGGGCAUCUGACAGUCCCAUAACUGAACACCAAGAUGCUAUGUUCCUUUAUUUUUUUUUUUUUUGGCCAUGCUCGGGAAGCAUGUGGGAUCUUAAUUCCCUGACUGGGGAUCAAACCGGGAGCCUUGCAUUGAAGCUCAGAGUCUUAAGCAAUGAACCAUCAGGGAAGUCCCUACAUUCCUUACAAGUUUAUGUAAAGACACAUCUGUGAUCCCUGUGGGAUGCAGGGCCCCUCAUCUCUUCCCCACAUCAGCCUACAGCUGUAGAGUGGCAAACUCAAAGCUCCUCAGGGAAGAAGGCAGGGAAGGAAGAUGACAAACGUCUGCUGCAGAGUGCAAAGGGAACUCAGAUUCUCAGAUUCCAUCCAUGGGUAAAGAAGGGACAUGGUUCCCUGAAUGUCAGGACACUGGGGAGUGUCCUGAACCAAGAUCAGCUUUCCCUCCCAGAUACCAGCUAUUUUCACUGACAGAGCUGGUGGUGAACAUGGUUUUCUUACGUGGAAACAAUGAGAUCCUUGAUGUCACAACCCAGAAGUAACCAGAUGUGUCCACACUGACCAGGGAGAGGAAGGCCAUUCUUGAGUAAAUGGUGUCCAGAAGUUGGACAGAAUUCGUACAUCUGGUUGUUCUGUUCCCCCUUAGAGGGAUAGUGUGUGGUGAUUAAAAAAAAAAAAAAAAAACUACAACAAAAAAAACAAACAUUUGGGGCUCCCCUGAUGGUCCAGUGGCUAAGACUCCAAGCUCCCAGUACAGGGGGUCUGGGUUCCAUCCCUGGUCAGGAAACUAGAUCCCACAUGCCACAACAAAAGAUUCCACAUGUUGAAACUUAGACCCAGUGAGUGUGUGCUAAGUCGCUUCAGUUGUGUCCAAUUCUUUAUGAUUCUAUGGGCUGUAGCCUGCCAGGCUCUUCUGUUCACGGGACUCUCCAGGCAAGAAUACCCAGUGCAGCCACAUAAAUAGACAAAAAUAAAUAUACAAAAUAUAUAUAUAUUUGAAAAAUGCCUUGAUUUCUAGAUUUUCCAGAAUCUUGGGCAAGUUAAUCUCUUCUAAGUCUUAUUUUUACCGCCUCUAAUAGAGACAGCACUCAUCACGUGGUUCCCACCUAAGGCAGGGGUCACGCUCAACUCAGUAACGGGUGGGGAUCUGUGGACAGCCUGGGAGGAUUCCACCUGUGUAAAUACAGCUCUCCUCAACCUGGCCUUGUGCCCAGCACCUGCCAUGGAAGCAGAAACAGCCUCUAAGUUUGCUCAGAAUCCCUUGCAAGGCCAGGUGGGCUUGGUUGUGCCUUACAUACGACAGGUCUCACCGUGAGGGCUGAAAGGCAUCGCUCUCAACGUGGAUCAGCUUUACACUGAGUCACAAGUCACUAGAGGAUUUCUUUACUACUUGGGGCUUUCCGAGAAGUGUCUGUGCUUGGGUAGUUUUUGUCUUAUAAAAGUUUCCCACCUGCAGUGGAGUUUAUAAUUACUUCAGAGCUUUUUAUAAAUGAACUAGAUUUCCUUUGCACUCAGGAUAAUUUACAGAGUCAUCAGUCACUUCAGUGCAGCUGGGAGCUUCACACCAACCGUGCAAACGCACCUUGAAAAUGAAACUGCAUGUAAGUGGGAGCCAGGAAGCAUGCCUUUGAGGGAAGCAGAAACAACUGUCCAACAAAUGGUUGCUCCUGUGUAUCUGCUAAUAAAAACUCUUGACAUUUUUAAGAAAAAAAAAAUCCCAAAUCAUUCACCAAGAUUUAUGUGGAUCUCAUAAAUGAAACAAUAAGGAUUACGAGUUAAAAAAAGAAUCAUUCUGGUCUAAAGCUUGUAUUAAAAUAUCCUUAAAUGAUUUAUUUAGCUGUAAAAGUGCUGGAAGGCAUGCCUUUCUGCCCUCCCCUGCAUAUCCUGCCCCACCCCCCAUUUUACCGACACUGUUUCUGCUUGGGAAUUUUUUUGGUGAGCAUGGAUGACACCUUAAACUACUUGAGUUAAACUGCAAAUAAAGUCACACAUUAUGCAAACAAAAAUGACUGCACUUCCCAAUUUCGAGCGACUUGAAUGUGAACUGGACGUUCGCCUUCCUAAACCCCAGGAGAUUCCGGAAUUCUAGAAGGAGUCAGAACACACCCGCAGUUGUCUCCUGCCUGGGACUCAGUGUCAUUCCUGGCACGUGCCUUUCAACGGGUCCAUUUCUGUUAAAAGUUUGCUCUUAGCCUCGGGGCUUUUUUCCUGCCGCUGCACCUAAUUCAUUACUUUAUAGUCUA